rfam:Candidatus Rokubacteria bacterium 13_1_40CM_2_70_45 13_1_40cm_2_scaffold_60823, whole genome shotgun sequence.
CCGUGCUAGACGGGGAGUUAGCGGUGCCCUGUAACCCGCAAUCCGCUUCAGCGGGGUUGAAUUCCCUCUCGAGGGUGGACGGUGUUGAGUGAGCCUCACGGAGCGGCGUUGAAGGUUGGGCCCCACGCAACGAGAAUCGCCGAACCCCGCCAGGCCCGGAAGGGAGCAACGGUAAGGCGACCCUCUCGUGUGCCGUGGGAGUACCUGACCGGAGCUGGCGUCGUGGGGAGAUCGCAGGACUGUUCGUUCGAAGGAGGGUGCACGG